rnacentral:rRNA from 1 species
GACGAACGCUGGCGGCGUGCCUAAUACAUGCAAGUAGAACGCUGAAGAGAGGAGCUUGCUCUUCUUGGAUGAGUUGCGAACGGGUGAGUAACGCGUAGGUAACCUGCCUUGUAGCGGGGGAUAACUAUUGGAAACGAUAGCUAAUACCGCAUAACAAUGGAUGACACAUGUCAUUUAUUUGAAAGGGGCAAUUGCUCCACUACAAGAUGGACCUGCGUUGUAUUAGCUAGUAGGUGAGGUAACGGCUCACCUAGGCGACGAUACAUAGCCGACCUGAGAGGGUGAUCGGCCACACUGGGACUGAGACACGGCCCAGACUCCUACGGGAGGCAGCAGUAGGGAAUCUUCGGCAAUGGGGGCAACCCUGACCGAGCAACGCCGCGUGAGUGAAGAAGGUUUUCGGAUCGUAAAGCUCUGUUGUAAGUCAAGAACGAGUGUGAGAGUGGAAAGUUCACACUGUGACGGUAGCUUACCAGAAAGGGACGGCUAACUACGUG